rnacentral:rRNA from 1 species
AGAGUUUGAUCAUGGCUCAGAACGAACGCUGGCGGCAGGCUUAACACAUGCAAGUCGAGCGCCCCGCAAGGGGAGCGGCAGACGGGUGAGUAACGCGUGGGAAUCUACCGAGCCCUGCGGAAUAGCUCCGGGAAACUGGAAUUAAUACCGCAUACGCCCUACGGGGGAAAGAUUUAUCGGGGUUUGAUGAGCCCGCGUUGGAUUAGCUAGUUGGUGGGGUAAAGGCCUACCAAGGCGACGAUCCAUAGCUGGUCUGAGAGGAUGAUCAGCCACAUUGGGACUGAGACACGGCCCAAACUCCUACGGGAGGCAGCAGUGGGGAAUAUUGGACAAUGGGCGCAAGCCUGAUCCAGCCAUGCCGCGUGAGUGAUGAAGGCCCUAGGGUUGUAAAGCUCUUUCAACGGUGAAGAUAAUGACGGUAACCGUAGAAGAAGCCCCGGCUAACUUCGUGCCAGCCGCCGCGGUAAUUC